AAAACCAUCGUUGUAUUUCAACUAUAAGAAC
rnacentral:tRNA from 1 species